AACGGGUGGCCCAAGCGAGAGGAUGUCUGUUAUUAAUUAAAACAUCGAGUCUACCAGGAGCUGCCUGCCCAGCCUGUUGGUGGACUUUCCAGAGAGGGCACGCUGGACGUCAGAGCGAUGGACAACCAGACCUAUGACCACCGCAGAACCCCAGUGCCAUACAGGCAUCCUGCAGAACACCUGGACACCUGGCUGGCCUGCCUGUCUGUCUGUCUGUCUGCCCUCCUCACCACCCCCACAUCACAGUUUGCCCAUCUUCCCGCUGCAUCUAUCCAUCGAGGGGGCACAAAUUCUUCACAUCUUGCUCUGUCGCUGCCUCCUCCACACCCCUGCCCCCCUGUAGCACACCCCUGUCCGGGGCUUCUACUUCUCUCUGCACACGCUAACUGUUGCCGUGGUAAUAAUGCCAGGUUAAGCCAUCCAGCGCUGCUGGUGAUUGGCCUGUUUCACAUAUAAAAGUGGCGCUUCCGUGUGA
ensembl:antisense Gm15346 predicted gene 15346